rnacentral:tRNA from 1 species
GAGGAUAUAGCUCAAGUGGUAGAGCAAAUGUUUAGCAUGCAUGGGACCCUGGGUUCAAUUCUCCCAGUACCUCCU